rnacentral:rRNA from 1 species
CCUACGGGAGGCUGCAGUGGGGAAUAUUGGACAAUGGGGGAACCCUGAUCCAGCCAUGCCGCGUGUGGGAAGAAGGCCCUCGGGUUGUAAAGCACUUUCAGUGAGGAAGAACGCCUGGUGGUUAAUACCCAUCAGGAAAGACAUCACUCACAGAAGAAGCACCGGCUAACUCCGUGCCAGCAGCCGCGGUAAUACGGAGGGUGCGAGCGUUAAUCGGAAUUACUGGGCGUAAAGCGCGCGUAGGUGGCUUGAUAAGCCGGUUGUGAAAGCCCCGGGCUCAACCUGGGAACGGCAUCCGGAACUGUCAAGCUAGAGUGCAGGAGAGGAAGGUAGAAUUCCCGGUGUAGCGGUGAAAUGCGUAGAGAUCGGGAGGAAUACCAGUGGCGAAGGCGGCCUUCUGGACUGACACUGACACUGAGGUGCGAAAGCGUGGGUAGCAAACAGGAUUAGAUACCCGAGUAGUC